rnacentral:rRNA from 1 species
AGUGAACGCUGGCGGUAGGCCUAACACAUGCAAGUCGAACGGCAGCACAGUAAGAGCUUGCUCUUACGGGUGGCGAGUGGCGGACGGGUGAGGAAUACAUCGGAAUCUACUUUUUCGUGGGGGAUAACGUAGGGAAACUUACGCUAAUACCGCAUACGACCUACGGGUGAAAGCAGGGGAUCUUCGGACCUUGCGCGAUUGAAUGAGCCGAUGUCGGAUUAGCUAGUUGGCGGGGUAAAGGCCCACCAAGGCGACGAUCCGUAGCUGGUCUGAGAGGAUGGUCAGCCACACUGGAACUGAGACACGGUACAGACUCCUAGGGGAGGCAGCAGUGGGGAAUAUUGGACAAAGGGCGCAAGCCUGAGCCAGACAUACCGCGUGGGUGAAGAAGGCCUUCGGGUUGUAAAGCCCUUUUGUUGGGAAAGAAAAGCAGCAGGUUAAUACCCCGCUGUUCUGACGGUACCCAAAGAAUAAGCACCGGCUAACUUCGUG